CCUUGAUCCACCACCUUCUGGUUAUUAUUUCACUUUGUUCACAUUCCGGGGACAUACAAUCGGCUGAUUUUAUCUUCUCUAACUACAUUUCUGCUUCAGAGGCUUUACUUGGUGGGAAUCAUCUUCCAGACUCCCCAAAGCUGGCUUCUGCCCAACUCACAAACCUCAUCUCACAUGUUGCUCUUUUCCCCUCUUUCACCAGUUCCAGGCACACAGACUUCCUGUCAGUUCUUGGUCAAGCAAGUUCUCGUCCACCUGAGGACCUUGUCCUUGCCUGUUCUUCCGUCUGCCUGGAAGGCUUUCUUCUGUCUUCUGUGCCUGGCUCCUUCCCCACCUUCCGGCCUCACUUGAGAUGUGAUCUUCUCUGACCAUCUUAGCUGAAGUUGGCCUCCUCUCCCUUAAUCUCCAUUGAGCUAAACAGUUUCUUUCAUCUAGAACUUACUAUAGUAAUUAUGUGUUUACUAGUUCACUGUCUGGAAUCGUUUACCCUAGAGCAGUCUACGAUGUAAAGCCAGGAUGGUCAAACUACAGCGCAAGCUUUGUUUUUGCAAAGCUCUGGAGCUUCCCUCUCUGCUGGUCACUCAUUCUUCUCUCUCCUGCUGCCAUAUGAAAAAGGACCCGUUUCCUUCCCCUUCUGCCAUGAUUGGACCUGGGAGUGCGACAUGGUGGCCUCAGGGGAAAAGGGCUCUCGUCUAGACCUUCUGACUGUCCUCUGGAUCUUCCUGGUGUCCAUGCGGGGCUGCUGCUCUGGGCUGGCCCCAGGGCCUUUGGCCAGUGUCCAUGAGCUGAAGCCGUCCCUACCAGGUUGACAAGAAUUGCAUGCAGGGUUCUGGACAGGAAUAUAAUAAGUAUUAAUCAGGCCGCUCUUUGGCGCACUUCCUUUUUGCCGAAAAUCAUGUGGCACUAGAUCCUGACCAUUUGCAUCCCCCAUUGUUCUAUAGAUAGAAUCUCUGACAUUAGAAUCAUAAGGCUUUGGCUUAAGGAUCACUUAAGAUAUUUUUCAGACCCGGAAUUCCAGCAACCAGUUUGACAACUCCUACAGAGAAACAGGAUCCACAUAAGGAUACAGCUUCUUCAUAUCCCUGUCCCAUGACUUCACCCUGCGUUCUUCAACCAAUCAAUGUGUCAGGCCUCUGAGCCCAGGCCUGCACGUAUACAUCCAGAUGGCAUGAAGUAACUGAGGAAUCACAAAAGAAGUGAAACUGGCCGGUUCCUGCCUUAACUGAUGACAUUACCUUGUGAAAUUCCUUCUCCUGGCUCAUCUGGGCUCAGAAGCUCCUCCACUGAGCACCUUGUGACCCCCCACCCCUGUCCGCCAGAGAGCAACCCCCUUUGACUGUAAUUUUCCACUACCUACCCAAAUCCUGUGAAAUGGCCCCACCCCAUCUCCCUUCACUGACUCUAUUUUCGGACUCCGCCCGCCUGCACCCAGGUGAAAUAAACAGCCUUGUUGCUCACACAAAGCCUGUUUGGUGGUCUCUCCACACGGACGCAUGUGACACAAUGAUCCCCACA
rnacentral:lncRNA from 10 species